rnacentral:rRNA from 1 species
GACGAACGCUGGCGGCGUGCCUAAUACAUGCAAGUAGAACGCACAGUUUAUACCGUAGCUUGCUACACCAUAGACUGUGAGUUGCGAACGGGUGAGUAACGCGUAGGUAACCUGCCUGGUAGCGGGGGAUAACUAUUGGAAACGAUAGCUAAUACCGCAUAAUAUUAAUUAUUGCAUGAUAAUUAAUUGAAAGGUGCAAUUGCACCACUACCAGAUGGAACUGCGUUGUAUUAGCUAGUAGGGGAGGUAACGGCUCACCUAGGCGACGAUACAUAGCCGACCUGAGAGGGUGAUCGGCCACACUGGGACUGAGACACGGCCCAGACUCCUACGGGAGGCAGCAGUAGGGAAUCUUCGGCAAUGGACGAAAGUCUGACCGUGCAACGCCGCGUGAGUGAAGAAGGUUUUCGGAUCGUAAAGCUCUGUUGUAAGAGAAGAACGGGUGUGAGAGUGGAAAGUUCACACUGUGACGGUAUCUUACCAGAAAGGGACGGCUAACUACGUG